rnacentral:rRNA from 1 species
GGCGAACGGGUGAGUAACGCGUAGGAAUCUACCUAGUAGAAGGGGAUAGCCCGAGGAAACUCGGAUUAAUACCGUAUACGUCCUUAGGGAGAAAGAGGGCUUAGCUUUGAUGCUCUCGCUAUUAGAUGAGCCUGCGUAAGAUUAGCUUGUUGGUGAGGUAAAGGCUCACCAAGGCGACGAUCUUUAGCUGGUCUGAGAGGACGAUCAGCCACAUUGGGACUGAGACACGGCCCAGACUCCUACGGGAGGCAGCAGUGGGGAAUAUUGGACAAUGGGCGCAAGCCUGAUCCAGCCAUACCGCGUGUGUGAAGAAGGCCUUCGGGUUGUAAAGCACUUUAAGUAAGGAAGAAAAGAGUAUUGUUAAUACCAAUACUCCGUGACAUUACUUACAGAAUAAGGACCGGCUAAUUCCGUGCCAGCAGCCGCGGUAAUACGGAAGGUCCAAGCGUUAAUCGGAAUUACUGGGCGUAAAGCGCGCGUAGGUGGUUUAUUAAGUUGGGUGUGAAAGCCCCGGGCUCAACCUGGGAACUGCAUCCAAAACUGAUUCACUAGAGUACGAAAGAGGAAAGUAGAAUUCACAGUGUAGCGGUGGAAUGCGUAGAUAUUGUGAAGAAUACCGAUGGCGAAGGCAGCUUUCUGGUUCUGUACUGACACUGAGGUGCGAAAGCGUGGGUAGCGAACAGGAUUAGAUACCUUGGUAGUCCACGCCGUAAACGAUGACAACUAGCUGUUGGAAAGCUAUGCUUUUCAGUGGCGCAGCUAACGUCUUAAGUUGUC